UGAACCUCUCCCCUGCCCAGCUGCGUCUGGGUGGGGGAGGGGAAGGCCAUGCGGCCUGUGGGGAGGGAGGCCGGAGCCCUUAAAGGUGCAGGGGUGGAGGAGACUGUGCAGGGGUGGAAGAGACCUGGGAUGUCUGGGCAGCACCCCCCCGGGAGAGAGUGAUAGAGACUGUGCUGGCAGCACUGCCGGCCACAAGCGGGGGAUGCGGCGAGAGAAGGUGCCUGGCAGCUGUGGGAGUCCUGGGCAGACAGAAGGGAAGAUUUUAACCCCUUUGUAGAAUAAUGGAAACCUUACAAAUACUGAAUCCUCCUGAAUCAGAAUGAGGAGAGAGAGAUGAGAGAUGAAAUGGGCAAGCGUGAGGAAAGCUGGAAGAGGUGAUAAGAAUCCUAGGUGGGAAGAGAUGAUGGAGUAGCCUUGGGCUGGACUCUUUCUUGUAUGGCCAUGGACAGACCCAUGUUUUUAUCCUGUGACCCAGAGACUGUAUUUAGGGGGAGGCAACACCUUGGAGUCAAGACUGAAGCAGCAGCGUGAACAGAGAUGGCUGAGGAGGGUGUGGGAUGCCCUCUGUCUCCGUGGGGAGGAAGAUCUCUGUUCAUGAGACCCCUCGGCCCCAGGGGGUGAAAUUUGGGGGGGACUGGGGUCCCGAAGUUGAGAGGUGAAGCAGUAGCGAGAACAGAGAUGGGUGAGAAGGGUGUGAGAUGCCCUCUGUCUUCAGAGAGGGUUUGAGAUCUCUGUUCACGAGGCCCCUCGGCCCCAGGGGAUGAAAUCUGGGGGGGACUGGUGUCCCGAAGUUGAGAGACUGCUGCUUCUGGAACUGGGUGGAGCAUCUUUAAACAGGGAACCCUAAAAGCAGCCCUGGCUCGUGUCCAGUGGUGAGAGCACUGGACAUGGUGGGGAGAAGUCACGAGGGCCGAUGUUCUCUGGGUGGGGCCAUGAGUGACAUGGAAGCACAGGAGGUUUUAAUUGUGCUUCCGGGGGAAGCCUAUGGUGCAAGGGAGGACUCCUCUCUCCCUGAUGGAUUUGAGGGUUGAUUAUUUGAGGGGUGGUGAAUCUAUGGAGAGAAGGGAGGGGGGAGGAGGAAUGUAUUUGGAAGGUUUUCAUUCUUAGCUUUGUGUGUGUUCCUUUUUAGAUAUCGUAAUUAAUAAAGUGUUGUGUUUUUCCCUCCAUCCCCAAAUGGGAGCCUGCUUUGUUCUGUUUCCAGGUCACAUCUCACAGCAACAAUUUUAGAAAUACACCUUUCAUGGGGGCCCUGGCACUGUGCCAGGGUCAAACCAUGACAAGGAAUAAGAAGCCAUCAGCAUCCCCAGCAAAGGACUUGACAUGCUGUCAACUUGAGGAACCUUUCACCUGCUCAGACAGACCAAAGCAGUGCUUCCAACUCCACUCAGACCAGUGCCCUUGACUUUGCAAGCAGAUGACAGGGAAGGGAAGUCUUUGCUAUGUUCAGAUUAUUAAUUUAAGUGGCCUUAAAUAAAAGGAGAAACACUAAAUGUGGAUAUGAAAUUUUAUGAUUGAAAGUGCUAAUAAUUUUAAUGAAUAGUGAUAUUGUUAAUUAUUGUUCUCAUGGUUUCACACUGGCCAGAUAUCAGGCACCCCCUACAGUCAUUCACUCACCCUCCCCUGCCACAGCUGGGCAGAGGAGAGAAAAAUUUAGACAAAAGGUUCAUGAGCUGAGAUAAGGACCUGGAGAAAACACUGCAAGGGCAAACAGGCUCAACUUAAAAGUACAAAAUUAGUUAAUUACUAGCAAAAUCAGAGGAGGAUAAUGAGAACUAAAAAUAAGAAGAAAAAUAAGCUUUCAAAACCAUCUUUCCUCCCCCAACCCCUCCGUCCUUUCCACCAAGAGCACAAGGAGACAGGGCAUGGGGGUUUUGGUUAGUUCAUCAUCUGAGUUCUUCUGCUCUUCAGGGAGAAGAGUCCUUCUUUUGCUACAUCGUGAGGUCCCUUCCCGUGGGAGUAAGUUCUCUGUAAAUUUCUCCAAUGUGGGUCCACUCUCAUGAGGAGCAGUUCUCCCAAAACUGCUGCAAAGUAUUUUUAGUCCCUCCCACAGGCAGAGAUUCCUCCCAAAACUGCUGCAGUGUGGGUCACUCUUCAACAGUGUGUAGUAGUCCAAGGACAGGCUGAUCCAGCCUGGGAACAAGGGUCCUUUCUCUCUCUGUCCACCAGGUCUCCCACUGGAAUCACAGCCUCCCCAAGGAAGUGUGGGCACCUUCCCCACUGUGAGUGGAUCUCUGUAUCUCCUGUGGAUCCCCAUGGGCUGCAGUGGCACAGCUGCUUCACCAUGGUCAUCAAUCACCGUGGGCUGCAGAAGAAUCUUGGCCUCAGGCCCUGAAGCACCUUCUCCCCCUCCUUUUCACUGACCUUGGUGUCUCCAUAUUGUUUCCUUUGCAUGUUCGUACCACCUUCUCUUCUCUGACUAGAAAAAAACUAUGCCCCACUUUGUUUUCAUUUUCUUCGUAAAUAUGUUACCACAGAGGUAUCACCAACAUCUCUAGCUGACCCACCAGGGAUUGACUGCUGGACAAGGUGGAACCUUCUAACAGCUUCUCACAGAAGUCACCUCUGUGGCCCCCCACCUACCAAAAAACAGGCUGUGCAAAGACAACACAACUGUCUAUAAUCACUUCCUGCAAUAACUAUACCUGCAAUACUGUUACUACCAUCAGUACUAGUAAUUUUAUUGGACUGCUAAGACUGCAAAUACACUAGCAGUAUGUUCUUGCCUUUAUAUAUGAGGUAUGUUUCUAUUUCAUCCAUAGGAAGAUUCUGAAUGUAGGAAAAACACACAUAACUCUUCCUUUGUCAUUUUUGAUCUUUUUAAUCUGAUGGUGAGUGCAGAUUCCAUAUAGAACAAUCUUGGUGCAAGAUCUAAAACCAUUCUCCCUAAAAUGUUCAUUGCUUACUUCACAUUGUAUGACUAAUUGUACAGAUGGAUGACCAGCUGUACCAAGCAAUCUUCCUUGGUUCAGCCAAAGAAAACAUUAUAAAUUAUAUUCUUGGUAGCUGUAUCUCCUUUUAGUAAGACAAAAUGUGGAUGCACAGUUUAAAUUGAAAAUGAGAGAUAACAAGUGGCUCUUGAGAGCUUAAUUUACCUAAUAAGAAAGAAAAUCCAAAUGAAGUGAGCCAGGUCCAUCUACUAUAGAACUAGAAAUGUACAAGACUAGCUUAAAAUAGUGUUUUCUGUUCCUUCAGACAAAAUUAUAUAUCAGAGGAUCUUUUAUGUGUAUAUUUUUGUGAGAUAGAGAGGAACACCAAUGAACAAAGAUACUCCCCUGGCAUCUUGAUUAAGGGCUUUAAUUAGCAAUCCAGUUUGCAAUAUCUGGUAAGUGAUUGAAUAGGGAUGGACAACGCAUAGAUGCAAAUAUUAUCAGAUAAAACAGAGCUUUAUAUCCCAUCAGUGGCAUUGAAGCUGCAGUGCUAGUGUUGCAUUAUUUAGAAACAGAGACAUAUGUCAUUCAUGCCCAGUAAAUUAGACAUUUGAUCUAGAUGCCUCUUCAUUUCAUUCCACAUUUACUAUUCCCUCUUCUUUACAAUUGUCUUAAGUAGGUCAGGUUUCUGAGGAAGCCAGCUGCAGCACUCUGUAUACUCUGAUUUACUUAAAUUAAUAAUCUGAACAUAGCAAGACCACUAAGGCACUCUUGCAUGAAGCAGUGCAGGAAAAUAAGAUUGAAAAAAGGAAAUUGUUAUACUGAAGAAGAGGGUAUCAGAGGUCAGGUCAUACAGAGAGUUGUGCAGGAUCUGUGAAUAAGCAGACUCCUCACUGCUUUCAGCCAUGGCUUUUAUAAUUGUGAAUUGUAAUACGGUAUCUACUGUAAAUAUAGUUAUUUACAGCCACAGAUAUCUGUAACCAUGAUUCCUCCUUCAAUUUAUGUUGAUUGGUUUCUCACCAAUUUCAUUAUAUUUACUUCUGUGUUAAAUAUAACCUUAAGUAAUUGUACUCUUCCUAAAUAAAUUCUAAAUCAUAGAAAUUUCUCAGUCUACAAAAACCUCAGUGACAGUUUAGAAGCAGUCAGCUAUGCUCUUCACAAAAUGUCUGGACAUGGCCUGACAACAACUCUGACGGUUGGUUAAUUUCAGUGAUAUUUUGGUUGACUUUGCAAACUUUUAACUUCAGGUUUACUGGUAACUUACAAACUUCAUCACUGGUCAUUUUCCUAAAUGUAUGCCUGUAUCAUCAUGGUAUGUGUCUCAAGCUUUUCCUCACUGAAAACUUUUUUCCAAGCUUUUCUGCAGUGAUGGAAAUUCUCCCUACAGUGAGUUUAUUAUUUUGCUUCAUUGUGUGCACAGUUAUAAACUGUCUUUGUAAUAUCAGAACACCCUGCACUUUAACUCACCGUAGUCAUAUAAGCAUAGAAAAAUGACACUUUUCUCUGUUGCUUUGAAGGAGAGUGCUAAAAGUACUACAGUUCCUUAAGGCAUAAAUUCAAGAACUUAUCAGACCUCUUCCAGGCUAAACAGUUCCAGUUUCCUAGCAUUUUCUCAUACGCAGCCAUGUAUCUGUCAAACACAGCUGAUCCUGUUCACUCUAGACUCAUUGUGGUUGAUGUACAUAUUUUCUGAGACACGAGAUCCAUAGAACUACAGAACUGUUAUGAAAACUUGUGCUAUGAGUUCUGCAGAGGAAGUGCUAUAUGUCCUGCAGAGGACAGAAUCUUGUCCUUACUGAAUUGUGGUACAUUUUUUUCAUGUGGUUUUUCUAGCAUGGUAAGAUUUCAGUCUUUUCCUCAUUCUCAUUGCACAACUAGUCCAUGACCCUGGCACAGUGAUCCCUGUAUGGGAGGCGGGGAUUUUUGUUUGUGAUUGAAAAUCCUUGGGUUUUUAGACUAAUAGAGAUCCAGAAAAGAGCUUUAACCAGCAGUGAUUAUGUAUACAUUAAUUCUUUCAAAAAUUAGUAGCAGCACAACGUCAUCUGGAAAUUUGUGAGAUUUCGAGGGGAGUCUUCUCUUUCAUUGGGGAAGGGUGGCUCAGGUAACUCCCUGUCACAUUAUUAAUGAAAUAUGUUUUUUUUAAUUGAUUCCAAUAUUAGAAUUGUAACCCAAAUUACUCCAUUUGUUGGAGCGAAACUUGAAAUAAAUUUAUGUUUUAACAUGUUUAAAAUCAGUUAUGUAAAAAGGAAUUGGUGUUGCAUAUUAGUAUGAUUGAUAAGAAAAUGUUAGCCUGAUUAAUGAUUUUUAAUAGUUGCCAUUUCCAGAUGUUUAGCUAUUUCCAACCUCAAAUAAAACUCAGACCAACAAAGCAUAACAACUCUCUCAGUACCCUCCUAAGGCUCUGCCUUUUCUGUACUGCACCCACUUUUUCUUAACCCAUAGAUCCAGUGUGUCCAGAUCCCUUAUCCACUAAAUGGAUCACUUUGCCUUAGAAUAACAUCAAGCAGGUCAAGUAGGACCUGCCUUUCCCAAACCCACGCUAGCAGGGCCUGAUCACCUGACUGUUCUGCAUGUGUCUUUUGAUGGCACUCAAGAUGAUCUGCUCUAUAACCUUCACUGGCACCCAGGUCAGGCUGAGAGGCCUGCAGUUGCCUGCAUUUUCCUUCCAGGCCUUCUUGUAGAUGUGUGUCACAUUUGCUGACCUCCAGGCUACUGGGACCUCCCCAGUCAGCCAAGAAUGCUGAUAAAUGAGGAAAGUGGCUUGCUGAGCUUUUCUGUCAGCUCCCUCAGUACUCUUGGGUGGACUCCAUCCAGCCCUGCAGACCUGUGCAUAUCUGAGUGGUGUAGCAGGUUGAUGAUCAUUUGCCCUUGGAUUUUGGUUCCUCAUUUUGCUCCCUGUUCCUGUCUUCUGGCUCAGGAGACUGGAUGCCUUGAGGACAACCUUGCUGUGAAAGGCUGAGGCAAUGAAGGACUGAAGUCAUUGGUGAUCCCAGGACUUUUCAAGAAGACUUUUCUAUGUUGGAAACACCAGUGGUACUCAUUUUUUUAGAAAUACACUUGUUUAAGGCCUCUCACAAACGGAAAUGCUAUGGCCUGGUCAAAAUCCUCUCAUCUCUGCAAGGAGAUGUUCCAGCUAUGAGUAAUCUGCUAUGAAGGCUUAUAAUCUUAUAUGAUGCCCAUGAUACCACAGACCAGAAAGUUACCUUAGGAAUGGUCAAACUUUGGUCCUUAAAUAAAAUUAUAAUAGAUACGAAUCCAGCCUCCAAACUGAAUGUGAAUUUUGAAGAAUUUGGUGAAACAGUAAGAUCAGGAAGCUGUUCUUUCCAGAAUGUCUGAAGAUUUCUAAGAAGAACGUACUACUGUCUUCGUAUCCUUUUACUACAUUUAAACCCUUUCUGGAACUGUAAAGAAAGGGGUGGGGUUGGACAGGACUAAGAACUGCAUGAAGGAAAUAAGUAAUUAAGAAUCAUGAAAGUAAAACUGAAAUUCAGAUGUUAUGAUUGCACUUUCAGUGCCCUCCAUUUCUGACAGGCAUCUUUUCCACUCACAGUGCAUUCAACAUAGGAUAUCCUAUAAGAUCAUCUUUAUGCAAUUAUUUAAGGUAUUGGGGAAAUCACAGUAGUCUUUCUGCUUCUUUUAAAAAGAAAGGAGAUUGGAAAAAUACUGUAUAAAUUCAAAAAUUUUAAUAUUAAAAAUUUUAAUCUGCUCCAUUUUAAAGAUCUGAUAUUUAUUUCACUGAAAGCAAUGAACCAUAUAGGUUACAAUUCUACUUUCUUAUAUGCAAAUGAAGAAGCAUUUUAUCAUAAUUACAGAGCAUGCAAUGUACAGGUGACCAGUGAUACAAAGGACAAAAGCUAUGUAAUCAGACAAUACAGUGAAAAUUGCAUCCUUGAUAUUAUGUCAUUUUAUAAGUGAAAUUUUUACAACAAAAGUGAGCAGAGGUUUGCUUGACUAGUAAGAAACUAUUCAGGGAAUAUUUAGAGCAUUCAGGCAAAAGCCCAAUCCUCCAGGACUGAUUUAGAAAAGCACUUGUGAAGUAAGCAGUCUAUUGACUGCAGAGAAGAUGGCCACAUGUUUGAAAUGGAGUGGGUGUUUUGCUGCAUCAGGCACUCUGCAAGAUGCUGUUGAGAAAUAGGUCAAGCAGUUUGGUAUCCGGACCUUUGUCUCUACAGUCCUAGUGCUAGAUACUUCAAAUUAAAUUGCUAUCCUGACUGACAUAUUAUAAUUUGAAAACUACUCAUGUAUCACUAUUUUCUGAUAUGACAGAACCAUAACUUAACUGUGUGAACAACAGUUUUUGAUUUCUCUAUAAUAAUGGCUGCAGUUUUGCAUAAUAGAACACUUAAAUUGGCUUAGAUUGCUGCAUUGGUUUACUUGUUGUUACAAUACUAUCCUUAAUUUAGCUGUAAUUUUGAGAUUUUAUCUCUGUGUUCUUGUGGAAGUGUGCAUUGCUUUCUCUUAUUUUUCUCAGAUAAUUUUUGCAGAUAAUUUUAUUUAGAUCCUCUCAAAGGCAUGAAGCUUCUAGUGACUAAAUGAUGAUUUUAAAUAAAUUGUUAAAAUAAUCCAGUAAAACAAACAUUAAGGAGAAAAGAUAUCUGCAUUAGAGCAACUUUUUCUGAAAAAUGUUUACAAAAUUCUGGUGUGCGAACAAUUGCCUGAUACAUAGAAGUACUAAUUUUUUGUCAAUAAUAGGAAUGCAUGCUAUGUAUUUAAUGACUGGGGAGAAAAUGCAAUACUCAUGGUCAGUGUAUUAUUGUAAUUUUUUUGUGUCCCCAACUUCUGCUUUAUGAGGCUAGGCAAAACUGAGUAUUUUGUAUUAGUAUUGCUGCAGCAUGAGCUUCAUGGCAUCUUUCUACAAUAGACAAGCAAGUCUGUUGGUAAUAUUUGAUGCAACAUUUAUGGUGAAGUGUCCCUCUUGUGCACAUAUAGAGGAAAACUUAAUGCGUAUUGCUCUUAAAGAAAGAUGCAGUUAAAAGUAAUUUUAAGAAAUGUAUUUGUUUUCUUUUCACAGGAAGGGCCGUGACUAUGCUCAAUGGCUCCGCUAGGCAGAAGUCAUGGGUCAAGGUGAUUUUUUAAAAGGCAAUCUGUAUAUUAUUUCUUUUCUAGUCCAUUUUACUUAUUCAAUUUUAUGUAAUCUCUCAGCAUCACGUUUUCUUGUGCUUGUUGAACUUUGAUGUUGGAGGCUGGGACCACUGUCAAUGACAAAUUGGAAGGGCUCCUGGAGGAAUAGAUAGCAUUUUCCUCUGCUUUUCGCAACAAAGAUUGGAGUUGAGUAAAUCUAAAGUAUCUGAUUAACACCUUAUUAAUGAAAUACCCCAAAAUUAGUAAUAAAACAUAUUUAUUAGACUUAAUAUUUCAAUUAGAGGCUACUCUUCUACAUUGCCCCAGGAUUCAUAUUAUUCUGAAGAUUAGUCUGGACUUUUGUCCUGACUGUGGAGUACUAAGUUGUGCCUGUGAUUUUUUUCUGUACUGCAGUGUAAGGAUUAAAGGCCAAUAUUUAAGGCCAUGAUUUACCUUUUUCCAGAGAACAGGUUGUUUCUGUAGCUUACUUUAUCGUAUAGCUAAAAUCUGAGUAUUUCAUUCAAGGUGUCAAGGUCACUUUGAGAAAAUACAUUAUUUUAGUAAGGGAUGCAUUAUUUUAGUAAGGGAUGCAUUGAAGUAAUACAACAUUUACAUAGUUAAGAUUUAUAAUGUUUUUAAUAUAAAACAGGAGGAUCCAUGAGAAGCAUAUACUCUCUAGCCAUGAUAAAAAAGCAGAAGUAUCUUCUUUUCAAGUAGUAAUUAAUUUCAUGGGUGGAAAACAAUGAGCUGGAUUUGAUAAAAUUUGUUUUCAAAUAAGGAAAUAGAAGCAGUCAUAUAAUUUAUUUUUUUCUUUCUAAUGUGUCUGUUAUUCCACCAGUUUCCCAGCAUUCCUACAUAACCUGGCCUUGGAAUUCCAUAUUGAUUAACCAUUUCUGUCAUUUCAGUCCAUUUCUGAGGAGCUACAUCCCAGACUGUGGUACAGAUCCAGCUGCAUUCCGUGGGCCCUUUCCCACCACCAUCGCCACCUCCUGCUACAUCAGACAACCAGAAGCUUCUCCAAAAUGGACACAUUGCAGUGCCUUUUGGAGAGGCUCAGCCUAUCUUUGCUUCCUUAGGUGUAGGUACCUUUCUCACGGUUGACUGGAUUCCUCUCUUCCCUGAUAUUUGGCUUCUGUCCCCAUUCUGUGCUUACUUAAAAGCAAGAGCUGCAAGGGAAUAUGUCCUUCCUCCAUGCAGGCCCCACCUGAGACCAUGAUGUACAUGUGUGAUGUUUCAUGAUGUACAUGUAUGAUGCAGAAUAGCUUUUGUCCAUGUGAAAAAACAGCAUUAGAGCAUGUGUUAAAACAUUAGUACCUUGUACAUUUAAAAUAUUUAUAAUGUUGGGUAUUUAUAAUUUUUUUUUCCCCCAGGCUGCUUUGUAGGUCAAACUUGUACUGAGGAGUGUGGUUAAUAAUGUUUAGGCCAAGUUAAGUACUCUAAAACGACACUACAAUGAAUAUUUUAACAAUUCUGCUAAUAACAACUUCUGAGAUGCUUUAUGCAUCACAACACCCCACUUCCCACAAAGGUGUGCUGGCCUAUGAAGAAAGAAAAAUCACUAAAAUCUCUUUGAGUUUCAUAUAUGCAUGGAUUAUGAUGCAUUGUUGAAAGGAAGAAUUUCCAGGGAGCCCUUCAGGUAAGAGAAAGUAGCUGAAGGUGCCUCAGUAUGCAAUUGCUUUUCUCAAAGCCACUACACUUGCAGAAAAUUUUUCUUCAAUGACUCAUCUGAGACUCCCAUAAAUUCUAUUAUGUUGAUAGGACUCAUUUAUCCUGGCAAAAGUAUUCACUGGUGCUAUGAAACUGUGAAAAUUCAAGGUUUUUAAAUGGCCAAGGAUAAGAAAAGGUAGAAGAUAUUUCAUUUGAAAGUAGGAAUUGCACUUUCUUCAUUUUUUGAAACGUAUUAUAUAUUUAAUAAGUCAGCUUUUCUAGAGGCUGAUUUUAUUCAGGAAUUUAUUCAAAAUACAUUAAAUUCUACAAUUAUCAACCCAACAAGGAUCAGCUACUCAUUGACAAGGGUUCUUUUCAACCCCAUAAGACCACUCAAAUAAUUUUGUGGCUGAGUAUGAUCCCAGCAAAACUAAGAGCCUGCUGAUUUGUUUUUUAUAGCCCAUUUAACUUCUCUGAUUAAUUAUUAAAUUUUGGGGUUUUUUUAAAUAUAUUAGAGGUGAUUUUGGCCAUGUUGAGAAUUUGCAGGAAAUUUAAUAACAAUAAGCACUUCUUUCAGAUUAAAUGAGUGCACUUAAUUUUUCUGUUGUUUUUAAAUAGCCCCAAGGACUAUCUAGGACUGUGCUUGUAAAAAGAAUAGUCCUGUCAGAACAGUGGAAACAGAGUGAAAUAGCAAGUUUCUCUUCUAUUUACUUCUGAAUCAUAUUGGGUCACUUUAAAACAUUGGUUUGCUGUUUUGCAUUUGCAAAUGUGUGCAAUCUACAACAGUGGUCUUCACACCUUUUUGACUGUACACCCAUCCCUAUGAGUAGCUCCACGAGAUGGAUUUUUUUUUAGAAUCAGAGGCUUAUUAGAGUUAGAAGGGACCUCUAGAGAUUUUCCAGUCCAGCCUCCCUGCCAAGGCAGGGUCACCUAGAGCAGGUUGCAUAGGAAUGCGACCAGCUGGGUUUUAAAUGUCUCCAAGAGGAAGACUCCACAACCUCCCUGGGCAGCCUGUGCCAGUGCUCUGCCAGCCUCAAUGUAAAGAGGUUCUUCCUCAUGUUGAGGUGAAACUUCUUGUGUUUAACUUUAUGGCCAUUACUCCUUGUCCUGUCUCUGGGAACCACUGAAAAGAAUCUGGCACCAUCGUCUUGGUACCCACCUCUGAAAUAUUUCUAUGCAUUAAUGAGAUCCUCUCUCAGUCUUCUCUUCCCUAGACUAAACAGGGUCACCUUCCAUAUUCUCUCCUCAUAAGAGAGAUGCUCCUGACCCCUCAUCAUCUUUGUGGCCCUCUGCUGAACUGUCUCCAGUAGCUCCUUAUCUUUCUUGUACGGAGAAGCCCAGAACUGGAUAGAACAUCUGGGAUGCUGUCUCACUAGAGCUGAGUAGAGGGGAAAGAUCACCUCCCUUGACCUGCUGGGCACAGUCUUCCUGAAUGUACCCUAGGACAACCUUGGCGCUCCUGGCCACAAGGGCACUGCUGGCUCAUGGUCAGCUUCUCAAUAGAGCUGCUCUCUAGCAGGUCAUCCUCCAACCUGUAAAGGUAAUUGGGGUUAUUUCCCUGUUGGAGCAGGACCAUACACUUGCCCUUGUUAGAGAAACCUCAUUAGGUUUCUCUCCACCUGCCUAUCAGGAUCCCACUGAAUGGCAGCACAGCCUUCAGAUGUACCAACUACACCCACCAGUCUCAUAAUCAGCAAAUUCCUGAGGGGACACUCUAUCCCUUUAUCCAGCUCAUUGAUAAAAAAUUUGUGUAAGACUGGAUCCAGUAUUGAUCCCUGGGAAACAUCACUGUCUACUGGCCUCCAACUGGAUUCCACUCCACUGAUCAUGACCCUCUGAACUCAGCCACCACUUGAUCCACCUCACUGCCUAUUCAUCUAACCCACAUCUCUUGAGCUUACCUAGGAUGAGGAUGUUAUAGGAGACAGUGUCAGUAGUCUUGCUGAAGUUGAGGUAUACAUCCACCGCUCUCCACUCAUCAGUCCAUCCUCUCAUGUCUUCACAGAAGGUUAUCAGAUUGAUCAAGCAUGACUUCCUCUUGGUGAUUCCAUGCUGAUUACUCUUGAUGGCCUGCUUUUCUUCUACAUGCUGGCUGAUGACCUUCAGAAUGACCUAUUCCAUCAUUUUCCAGGGAUGGAGGUGAAGUUGACUGGCUGGUAGUUUCCCAGGUCCCCCUUCUUGCCCUUUUUGAAGACGAGAGUAUCACUGACUUUCCUUCAAUCAUCAGACACCUCUCCCAUUCUCCAUACUUUUUCAAUGAUGAUGGAGACUGGCGGAAACCAGAUGGAAAUUGGAGACACAUUUGCCAGUUGCCUCAGCACCCAUGUUGCAGUCCAUCAUGGCCCAUGGAUUUAUGGGUGUUUAAACUGCCUAGCCAAUUGCUAACCCAAAUCUCUGAGCAACUGGAAGUCUUCCUUUCUCUUGUCUUCUCUUAUGUCCAAGGUCUGGGACUCCUGAGGGCUGACCUCAGCAGGUCAACCUUUGUCUCAGACAAAGAAGGCAUUCAUUGAUUCUGCCUUCUCAGUGUCUUCCAUUAUCAGGACACCCAUCUGAUUCAGCAACAGCCCCACAUUUUUUCUAUUCUUCCUUUUGCUGCUGAACUACUUGGAGAAGCCCUUCUUAUUGUCCUUGAUAUCCUUUUCCAGACCCAGUUCCAAGAGAGUCUUGGCCUUUCUCAUCAUGUCCCUGGAUACCUUGAUGAUGUUCCUUUAGUCUUCCCAUGUGGCCUGUCCCUUUUCCCAUAUCUUAUUGGAGUUGCCAAUAUUACAGACGGGACUGCCUUGGUCUGUCUGGCCUCGGCUUCUGACCAAAUAGUGGCACCUGUGGAGUUUUCUCCCCAGAGAUGCUAUACAGUACCUGUGGUCAAGCUGGGCACGUGGAGACAAGUCCGGGCAUGCCCCGAGCUCCAGAGCUUGCGGGCUGGAGCUUGCUGUUAAGGGGAUUACUCCUCAGGCCUUGCCUGAGCUGGAGAAACCCUUAAGGCGAGGUGAAGAAAGGAGUGGGUCCUGAUGGAGAGUUUUUAAUCCAGAGUUUUUAUUUUGGUGGCACGGCCUCUGAAUCUUGCAACAAUCCCCUGAACUCUCCCACCAGAACUCUCCAACAGAACCCCAACUGCAUGGUUGCUUGUCCUUUUACCUGGGGAGAGGGCCAGGGGAGGGAACACAGGGACCACCACAGGGGGAGGGAGUCUCAGGUGAGAGGGACACCUGGGUGGGCCAAUGGCCCCCCAGGGGGGUGGAGAGCAUCCUUUGAACCUGCCAAUCACUCGAUGCUCUCUUGGAAUUUCUGGGUUGAUAAGACAGUGCCCAGCAGGGGUCAAGGGUGGGGAAAAGGAGAGGUGAUUGACAGUCCACCUGGGAAAGGUAAUUUCAGGGAGAAACCCAGGGAACUGAGGCAAGCCCUGAUAUCACACCGCAACAAUAUCUCAUAAAUUUCUUUAUUGCAUUUGAGAUUUAUUGGGACUGCCCUCAAUCCGUGAAGGUUUCAUGCCUUCUCAAAACAUCAUGAAUCCUAUCCCCCAGUAGGCAGCAUAUUUCUUGAGACUGUCUAUCAGGCCAGCAGAUAGACAGUCUCAAGAAAUAUGUCCUUCAGUGGCCCAUAAAAGAGAGUCCCCCAUUAUGAUCAUUCAGUGUUUCUUUUUACAGUAACCACCAUGCACUGGUUGUUGCAGAUUCUCCUUGUUGGUCUUGCUCAUAAACAUCUAAAUCUUUUAAAGCAUAGUAUCUGAUUUUGGUCUGGAUGUUGGAGAGUGGAGGUUGAAUUGGAGCCCUGCUUUUUGGGUCAUCAGGGUCCAAGGUGCCUCUCACUCAGUGGUAUCCAUUGGAGGUAUAUGGUUCUGAAGCCAUAGGUCCAUCUCUGUUUCAGCCUCUCUUAACACUGUACAGCUUAUUGAUGGUCUCCUGUAAUUUGGCUGUGUGCUGCAGCAGGUCAGCAACCUGAGUAUGCUGUGCAGGUACUGCCUUUUCUCCAGGAGGAGUAACUGGACAUCAGUUGCAGACUACCAACUGUACAGGCAUCUCCUUCUUUACCAGUUCUAUCUGAGUGGAAGCAUCAGACUUCUCAGGGGCUGUCUCAGUAAACAGAAUGGUUUUGGCUCUAAGUCGAGUGUCCAUCACUAUGGCAGAGACCUAGAGCACUAAGCAAUUAUCUGAGGUGUGAACCUACCUGCAGAUUUUAGCAUCCUCCCUGCAUGCCUGGGCAAAUUGCCACAUCAUGUGUUUCUUAUGUCAUAUGCAGUUUGCCCCUCCUGCUCACUGGGGUGUUAAAGGUUUGUGACCUUUUGUUGCUCCCAGCUUUUCCAGUCCCACUAAUGACUCUAUAAUAGCUUUUCCUUGCUGAUGCUGUGUUAGGGAAGCAGUACAGACAGAGUUUUAAAUCAUCUUGAUGUGGCAUCUCACUUUGCUAAAUAUCUUUAGUUCUCAAUGGAAAAUAAGAAUAUUCACUUAGGGAAUUAUUGUGGAAUUGCUACAGCAUUUUAAGUUUAGAACUUCACCAAUUUCCCAGUAGUUUCCCCUCAUGAAAAGCACCAUGUUCUUCCAGAGAGAGCUCCUAGCUCCCUUAUGCUUCUGAGAAAAUGCCAACUUGAUGAAAUACUGUCAUUUGCUCCUGAUCCUUUCCAUAUUUUUUGUCAGUGUACCACUAUAAUCUGUAAUACUGAAGUGAACAUUAAAAACAACAAUUUAGUCUCUCGAUGAUGUACAGUUGACACACCAAGUUACAUAUUGGUUUUUUUUUUUAAGUUCUGAUAUGUUCUCUGUCCAGGUUUUUGCUGAAUUUCAUUGUGAGCACACAAUAUCAUAAAGUGUUUUUAUAGCAAAAUAAGGAGUUGCUCCCACGUCUUCUAAAGGAGAUUCUCCUUUCAAAAACUAAAAUAAAAUUCUUCAAACACAAGGACAGCUAGACAGUUGAAAAGAUUACCUGCCAAUGUCUACAAUGAACACAGAAUGCAUUAUUUUAGACAAAUUUCUUUACACAUUGUGUGUGGAGGAUUAUUGUUACUAUAGCAACAAAAUGUGCUUUGAUGACUUAAAUAUUGUGUGCCAUAAAUUCUCAUUAGGAAUUCUCUUAUUACAAGAUUAUUUCCUACAUUUCACUGAGCUAAGAUGGAGAGAAAGAGGUGUUUCCAUGAGCAUUUGAACAGGCUGAUCUAAGACAAAUACUGUCUCAUUCUUCUGCUAUCAUCAUUCAAUGCUUCAUCUAAAGCAAAAGACAAAUGAUCAAAGUUAUUGAAAUGAAAUUAUUUGAAAGAGUUGGAAAAAAUCAGCCACAACCCCUUUUUUACAGAUAUAGAUAAAACUUUAUUUUUUAUUAAUAUUGUCCUCCUUUAUAAUUUCUUAGUUGAUUUGUGAAUUUGGAUAUAGUUGGUUUAUUUCACAGCACCAAAUUAAAGUAUGAAUUAUUUAAAUAUGCAACUGGAUGUUGUUCUAAUAAUUAUACUAUGAGUUUUAAAUCAUGUGGAAAUCAGUGAGUUUGUUGUCUUGUUCUGUAUAAUAUUUUUCUCUAAUUUUUUCUUUCUGGAUAGAUGUCAGUUCUUGAAAAUCAGGUCAAGGCCUUUUUUAAGUUGGAAAAAAAAAUUGUUCCAACAAAAUGGAUUUUUUUCUGCUGUAAUGAUUAUUUUGGUCAGCUUUCAGGUCAUAUAGAGCCCUGAUCUAACAGAUGUGGGAAUUUCAUGGAUCAAUACCUCUGAUAUGGCCAAUGUUCCUUGCAGGAAUCUGAACUCUGCAGAAUCCCAAAGAAGGUUGACAAAAACAUUCCUGCCUAUGCAAAUCUGUGUGCUUUUGUAUGUUAACAUCUGUAACUCGCUGUCAAUGUAUAUAAUGUCACAUUCCAAAUCUUAUUGGUAUGAGACUGUCAGUGUUUGCAGCUGCUAUUUUCUUAAUGCUUUAAUUAACUACAAAACAGUAUAUGGGCUGGUUUUGUAAUCUGACCCAUAAAAACAAAUAUUAUGAUGUUUGUGAGUGUGCAUUUGCUAGAAUUAACAAACAAAAGAAACUAUUUACUGUUCUUUUUUUUUUUUUACAUAAAAUUGAAAUGCUUCAGAAGGCUAAAUGAUCCUUGCAUAAUCUGAGAGAGUACUCUGCUCAUAUUAUUAUUGCAACAAAGUACUUUCCUGCCAGUAAGAUGUACCUAAAAGCUUGUUCAUGGCUUGAAAGUCGUCUACCAUAUAGCUGUGGUGAUCUCAUAUGGGCAUUGUGUGCCUGAUAAACCUGCCAAAAAAACCAAGGCUUUGGAAGUUGGAGUAUAUUGAAUGAAUGGAAAAUUUCAUAUUUUAGAAACUGGAUCCUUCAGUGCUGACAAAUUUAAAUAUUGCUUUAAGGCUAAAAUCUAUCAUGAACAUGAAUUGAAUGUGCAUUUUUUUGAGGGCGAUUGAAAUCCUUUUAAAUUGAGCUGGAAGACACAACAAAAAUCUGCAUUUGAGUGUAUGCAUUGAAAAUUGGAUAGAAGGGGAAGGUGUUAAAUAGACCAGGAUAUUUCUAGAGCAUGUGAAGAGAGGGAAGAAGGAUGAAAGGAACAGUUAUGGAAUCUUCCAUUUUUUAGGUGAUUUAGGGAUGCAGGAAUACUUGAGUUUUUUAAAAAAACUAUGUGCAGAUAUUGAUUUUCACUUGUUCCUCAAACCCAUGCAGUGUGUGGAUGCAACUUGGCCUGAAAAUUCAGGUGCACUGAGGGUCUACUAAAUGCUGUUUUGAUAUAGCCUUAGGGAAUCUGAGGUGUGUAAGGACACCAGACUGGAACAAACCUUCUGCUACUCAGUUUGCAUGCAGGGAAAUGAUCCUGCUUUUUCUUACCUAUCCUCAUGUUCCAUUUGUUUGUUUCUCUGGAGCUGAAGAUUGAGGUCCAGACUUACUUUUCUGUCUUUUUGCCUCAGAUAAAUCUUUCACUGAGGGCACAGUUUGCUUCUUGGUGCUGAACAUUUGGCCCCCAAAGAAGUCCCAAGAAUUCCCCCAAAAAAUCUCAAACAAGGAAACAACCAAAACAACGCUUCAACAUUUGAUUUCUGGUGUUUUCUAAACUUUUUAUUACAGUUAUGAUAAAAUACUCUUGAUUCGGUGCUUAAAGUGAUCUGACGUACUCUAUGAAAAACCCACAAAGAGGAAAAAAGUUUUCAGAGACUUCAGAUGUCUCAUCCUGUUUGUUUCAAACUUAAUUUUGAUUUGGCAGCCUAUUCUACCUCUUCACUGAUGAAGGAUUAUGUAUGAAAUCAGGGUGUACUAUAUUUAAUGCAUCUCACAUGGAUACAUGUGCAUUCAUGCAGAGCUUUGGUUGCACCUACGUAGUAUAUCUCACACAGCCAUAAGGGCUGGAUCUCAUUUUACAGGUAUAAUACUCAGUGCAUGUGCUUAUAAAUUAACAGAGACAAGGAGGAAAAAAAGUCAGGAAAAAGAACUCCAAAUAUCUGUGCUGAUUUACGCAACUCUGAUACAGAUUUAAAGAUUAUGUUUCCUAUCCAAAAGUGCUCGUUAUGUGGGAAAGGAUUCGUUUUUUGCAUUUGAAUAUUUCCAACAAUGUGUGAUAAAGAAGGGUGGUAUCUGCAGAGGAAGUAGAUCUAGGAGGUCACAUCACACUUCUUGUUUCACAUAUAUUGUCAAUGGAAAGGGUUUCCCCAGUAAUGCCAGUUCCUUGUAAGGGCUCUCAGUUACCAUGCAUAAGGUGAAAAUGCCACUCUGUGAGUUCAUCAAGCUGGCUUACAUUUUGUAUUUAUUAUAUAUAGUGUACAAUAAUGUAUUAAACAUUGUGCAUUUACUGUGCUUUAUGGGAAUAUAAUAUUUACGACUUUGGUGCUUCUUUGUUUUUUAAUACAUGAUAAAGCAGGGGAAGAAGUCAAAUGAACAAAACUAUAAAAGAUGCUAUGUCAUCUCAAGAUGUAAUCUGAGACCCACAGUGAACCAUUUAUUGCCUCUACACAAAGAGUUUCCAUCACUUUGGAGUGUGGGAGGACUGGGCAAUCUGUGAGUGACAUUUGGCACUGGUGGAAAAAGCACAGUAGUUACCUGUUUUAAAGGUCACACACCACUACUUGCUCCCUGGCAUCCAUAAAUUCUACUAUCUACAGUACUACUUUUUAUAAACAAGGGCAGGUCAUUAUCCACUCAUCUGUUGACCAUGAUUUGCAAACUAGUUUCUCACUGUCCCCAUUUAGAAGGAUGCAGUCAGGCCAAGGACCUUCCAAGACUACUCAGUGCAGAAUCCACUCAGGAUUAUUGAGAAUUUCCUGCUGGAUCUGUAUUUCUCUCUCCAACAGAGUACAAAAGGAGUUACAAUGAUUAACCAAAUUGCUAAUCUCUUUUAUACGUAGUCCCAAAGGUGAGGCAUAAUUUAAGAAAUAUUGUUAAUUGCUAUUAUCCAAUGCCUUUUUGCCUUUUUUU